CCUACGGGAGGCAGCAGUGAGGAAUAUUGGUCAAUGGGCGUAAGCCUGAACCAGCCAAGUCGCGUGAGGGAUGAAGGUUCUAUGGAUCGUAAACCUCUUUUAUAAGGGAAUAAAGUGCGGGACGUGUCCCGUUUUGUAUGUACCUUAUGAAUAAGGAUCGGCUAACUCCGUGCCAGCAGCCGCGGUAAUACGGAGGAUCCGAGCGUUAUCCGGAUUUAUUGGGUUUAAAGGGUGCGUAGGCGGCCUUUUAAGUCAGCGGUGAAAGUCUGUGGCUCAACCAUAGAAUUGCCGUUGAAACUGGGAGGCUUGAGUAUGUUUGAGGCAGGUGGAAUGCGUGGUGUAGCGGUGAAAUGCUUAGAUAUCACGCAGAACCCCGAUUGCGAAGGCAGCCUACCAAGCCAUGACUGACGCUGAUGCACGAAAGCGUGGGGAUCAAACAGGAUUAGAUACCCUGGUAGUC
rnacentral:rRNA from 1 species